UACGGAGGGUGCAAACGUUGCUCGGAAUCAUUGGGCGUAAAGCGCACGUAGGCGGUCCAGUAAGUCGGGUGUGAAAGCCCUCGGCUUAACCGAGGAAGUGCAUUCGAAACUGCUGGACUUGAAUACUGGAGAGGAUCGCGGAAUUCCCGGUGUAGAGGUGAAAUUCGUAGAUAUCGGGAGGAACACCAGUGGCGAAGGCGGCGAUCUGGACAGAUAUUGACGCUGAUGUGCGAAAGCGUGGGGAGCAAACAGG
rnacentral:rRNA from 2 species